UGAAAUGUGCUGGUGCAGAUGUGUCCUUCCUCCAACUGUAGAUUCGGCGUUUUUUCACAUUAAACUCUGUGAAAUUAGAGUUGAGUUCAACCAAAGCACACUUGGUGAUUGUUGGAAAGAGUAACGACGACGGUUUAGGAUCUCUUCAUAGGACUGUCUGAUGGAGUCCUGCAGAGGAGUGUCCCUCUCGCCAGCCUCCUCCACCUUCCUCUUGGCCUGCUUCACCUCAUCUCUGAGCUUCUUCAGCCUCCACCUGACUCUGGCAAGUUCCCUCUCGUACUCCUCCACCUGGCUCUCCUUCUGCACCUCCUCCGCCUGCAGAGACAAGAUCUGGCAACAAAGGACAGAGAGACAAAAUGGCUUUCUGUCACAUACACUGUGCUGCUAAAACGACCUUGAUAGAGAUACUAUCCAGGAAAUGUAAUUUUAAACUGUUGUUUGAAAUAAAGUAUACCGCUAAAAAAAACACACUGCUUGUUGAAUUAAAAAAAAAUUCAGAAAAUGA